CAGAAUAUAUGAUGAUCUCAUCUCAACUUGAACUCUCUCACUGAUUAAUUAAUUGAUGAUGAGAAAGAUCUGAUAUUCUG
rfam:Cavia porcellus supercont2_12 genomic scaffold, whole genome shotgun sequence.